rnacentral:rRNA from 1 species
UACGUAGGGUGCAAGCGUUGUCCGGAAUUAUUGGGCGUAAAGAGCUCGUAGGCGGUUUGUCGCGUCUGCUGUGAAAUCCCAGGGCUUAACCCUGGGCCUGCAGUGGGUACGGGCAAACUAGAGUGCGGUAGGGGAGAUCGGAAUUCCUGGUGUAGCGGUGAAAUGCGCAGAUAUCAGGAGGAAUACCGGUGGCGAAGGCGGCAUCCUGGACCGGCAUUGACGCUGAGGAGCGAAAGCCAGGGGAGCAAACGGG